rnacentral:rRNA from 1 species
AGAGUUUGAUCCUGGCUCAGAUUGAACGCUGGCGGCAGGCCUAACACAUGCAAGUCGAGCGGUAGCACAGAGAGCUUGCUCUCGGGUGACGAGCGGCGGACGGGUGAGUAAUGUCUGGGAAACUGCCUGAUGGAGGGGGAUAACUACUGGAAACGGUAGCUAAUACCGCAUAACGUCGCAAGACCAAAGUGGGGGACCUUCGGGCCUCAUGCCAUCAGAUGUGCCCAGAUGGGAUUAGCUAGUAGGUGGGGUAAUGGCUCACCUAGGCGACGAUCCCUAGCUGGUCUGAGAGGAUGACCAGCCACACUGGAACUGAGACACGGUCCAGACUCCUACGGGAGGCAGCAGUGGGGAAUAUUGCACAAUGGGCGCAAGCCUGAUGCAGCCAUGCCGCGUGUAUGAAGAAGGCCUUCGGGUUGUAAAGUACUUUCAGCGAGGAGGAAGGCGUUAAGGUUAAUAACCUUAGCGAUUGACGUUACUCGCAGAAGAAGCACCGGCUAACUCCGUGCCAGCAGCCGCGGUAAUACGGAGGGUGCAAGCGUUAAUCGGAAUUACUGGGCGUAAAGCGCACGCAGGCGGUCUGUCAAGUCGGAUGUGAAAUCCCCGGGCUCAACCUGGGAACUGCAUUCGAAACUGGCAGGCUAGAGUCUUGUAGAGGGGGGUAGAAUUCCAGGUGUAGCGGUGAAAUGCGUAGAGAUCUGGAGGAAUACCGGUGGCGAAGGCGGCCCCCUGGACAAAGACUGACGCUCAGGUGCGAAAGCGUGGGGGAGCAAACAGGAUUAGAUACCCUGGUAGUCCACGCCGUAAACGAUGUCGACUUGGAGGUUGUGCCCUUGAGGCGUGGCUUCCGGAGCUAACGCGUUAAGUCGACCGCCUGGGGAGUACGGCCGCAAGGUUAAAACUCAAAUGAAUUGACGGGGGCCCGCACAAGCGGUGGAGCAUGUGGUUUAAUUCGAUGCAACGCGAAGAACCUUACCUACUCUUGACAUCCAGAGAACUUAGCAGAGAUGCUUUGGUGCCUUCGGGAACUCUGAGACAGGUGCUGCAUGGCUGUCGUCAGCUCGUGUUGUGAAAUGUUGGGUUAAGUCCCGCAACGAGCGCAACCCUUAUCCUUUGUUGCCAGCGGUUAGGCCGGGAACUCAAAGGAGACUGCCAGUGAUAAACUGGAGGAAGGUGGGGAUGACGUCAAGUCAUCAUGGCCCUUACGAGUAGGGCUACACACGUGCUACAAUGGCAUAUACAAAGAGAAGCGACCUCGCGAGAGCAAGCGGACCUCAUAAAGUAUGUCGUAGUCCGGAUUGGAGUCUGCAACUCGACUCCAUGAAGUCGGAAUCGCUAGUAAUCGUAGAUCAGAAUGCUACGGCGAAUACGUUCCCGGGCCUUGUACACACCGCCCGUCACACCAUGGGAGUGGGUUGCAAAAGAAGUAGGUAGCUUAACCUUCGGGAGGGCGCUUACCACUUUGUGAUUCAUGACUGGGGUGAAGUCGUAACAAGGUAACC